UACAGAGGUCUCAAGCGUUGUUCGGAUUCAUUGGGCGUAAAGGGUGCGUAGGCGGUGGGGCAAGUCAGGUGUGAAAUCCCGGAGCUCAACUCCGGAACUGCACUUGAUACUGCUUUACUAGAGUACUGGAGAGGAGACUGGAAUUUACGGUGUAGCAGUGAAAUGCGUAGAUAUCAGAAGGAACAUCAGUGGCGAAGGCGGCCUCCUGGACCAAUACUGACGAUCAGGUGCGAAAGCGUGGGGAGCAAACAGG
rnacentral:rRNA from 1 species